CAUUUCCCAUAGUUCUAGCUGUGUGCUUUGUAAGAAGUAUUUCCUUUUGUCUGUCCCAAGUCUUUAAGCAUUCAUUGGAUGACCGUGGCUUCAAUUAUAGGAGAGCGUUCAAAACUUCUUUCUUUCCACUGUCUUAGCAACAUGCAUAGUUUUAUAGCUUCUAUUUCAUCCUCCCCCUCCCUUACACACCAUUUUUUUCCUAAACCAUAAAAGCUCCAAGCUUCAUAUCCCCAUAAACGAAUUUCUCCAACAACUUGAUCUUGUUGGUUGAAAAUGAAAAUGAAUAUAAACCCACCACAAUAUAAUCUUAUUGGGCCAGUUCUGUUCUGGUGCCUAGACAAUCUAAUGGGAUGGUCUACCCCAUGGGUAGGCAAACGAAGGCCCGGGGGCCGUAUGCGGCCCAAUCACCUUCUAAAUCCAGCCCACGGACGGUCUGGGAAUCAGCGUGUUUUUGCAUGAGUAGAAUGUGUCCUUUUAUUUAAAAUGUAUCUCUGGGUUAUUUGUGGGGCAUAGGAAUUCAUUCAUUUAUUUAUUUUUUCCAAAAUAUAGUCUGGCCCCCACAAGGUCUGAGGGACAGUGGACUGGCUUCCCUGCUGAAAAAGUUUGCUGACCCCCUGGUCUACCCAGUCUGUGAGGUUGUAGAAAUUGACAUAUAAAUGUAAUUGUGAUUAUGCAGAACACCAUGCGUGCAAGUUACAGGAGUGAGGAGGCAGAGUCGAAAAAGAGCUUAACAAGUUGGAGCCCAUAAAUAAGAGACAAAUAGUGGAGCUAGAUGACAUCAUAUUGGCUGGCUUGAAAAAUUAGAUGAGAAGCAACUUUCAAAACAGUAAAGAAGAACAAACAUAUAGCAAUAAUCUUAGCAAGGUAGGAUGAUAAACUGCAAUAUAUAGGCAGUAUUUAAACUGUAUGAGAAUCCUGCACAAUUCUGUUCAAUGACAUGUCUGUCCUCUACAUAUUUAUUUUGGGUCAGUAUAAAUUACCAGUUCCUAGUUUAUCUCUUCAAAGCUGUAUGUCAUCCCCAUGUGUUGGGUUUUGUUUCUUUUUAAAGAACUCUUAGUCUUUACCCUGAAGUUGCCUGGAACUGAAUAACAUUCUUAUCCCCGGAGAGGAAGAUGUCUCAAGGUUGCAGUUGAUGUGCACUGGCAAAGUAUCACGAGGGACUCUCCAUUGUAAGAAUAAAUAAGGGGCUUCCAUUUAACAAGAGGAGUUGGGAAGCAGGAAUGAUCUGGUUCUGCAGUGGUUUGGGUGGGGAAUUGUUCAAGGUAUGAACAAGUGGCAAGAAUAUACUUAGUUAAUUAUUUGCUUUGGGCUUCAGGUGGAUAGUUCUGUAGGAGGAAAACAUGCAGCAAUUUCUGAAGUCUGCUUAUCUUCUGCUUGUAGCAGGAUAUGAAUUCUGAGGAAUUGAAUUGACAAGGAGGCAAGAAAUGCUAAGGCGUUGGAACACUUACUUUCAAAGCCGCUGAAGUUUAAUACUACAAUGCACACACAACAGAAAUGACAAAGGCUUCCUGUAUCUGGUGUUAGCAUUUCAGUAUGAUCAGGGUUGACGAAAAGCAAGGUAAAAAAUAAAAUAAAAUCCAUGCCACAAUGGUCUAAAUUCCACAUCAAAGAGGAGAAGCUGUCUUCUGCAAACUCUGUUGCUGAUGAAACUUCGGCGUAUUUUCAUGAUUCAUCUAAUUUUGUGUAAUUUGGUUUCCCAAACUUAACGCAGAAAUGCAGAGUGGGAGAGAGUAAAUGACAUGUUCAAAGAUGGGGAGGUAUGGCAGUCUGAAAAAAGGCCAUGUUGCACAGAAAAACAAGCAAACUGUGACAUUUCAACAUUAUGCACAUUGAAUCUGCAUAUUUUGGGUUAUUUUACGUAAUUUAUUUCGCACCAGAUAGUGAUGGGAGAAGGCAAUAAAUUGUUACUGAAUUGUUAAGGCUAGGCUGACACUUUGGGCCACUUUGAUAUAACAAUCUUGCUUUAAUAUACUAUAGUUUAUUAAACAGAGAAUGAAAGCCAUGCCUGUGCCUCUUUCACCUCCCUCCGUUUGACACUUCUAUCCUGGUUUGUUUAAGCCGGUUUUCUCUGACAUCCAGACCAGGAAACUAGUUUAAUCUCAGAUUACUAACCAAGAUACGAAGCUAGGCUCAGAAAGCUGGUUGCCAAAAGAAACUUUAUGGCAAGCAAAUGCAAGUUCCCCUUCCCAACAGAGUAUGCAUUCCAGCCCUGCCAGGUCCCAACAAGGAGCUGAAGAUGCUCCAGACCCUCAGAUAGGAAAGUGAUGGAGAUGACAGCUAAUGGAAGGGGAAAGGGUGCGAGAAAGUCUAUUGAAGAAGAAGCACCACUUCCUCUCAUCUUCCUGACAUCUGGAAACAGUACUUUGUUUCUUCCACAAUCUAAGGUGGUAGCACAACAACUACAUUUUCAUGAAUGUCCCUCCUUUGUCUGCUUUAUGCUUAAGUUUCCUUCAGGAUCAGUUCUCAGGUAGCACUGGACAUCUACUGAUCUUCCUUUGCACACCCUUCUCUUAAAGGCACAGACACAAUUUGCCACGUAUCGUCCGCUUGUGAGGUGUAGCACAUAGUUCAGGCCUGGUGUUGAUGUCAGAACAGUGUUCUUCUCUACCUUGUUUUUCUUCAGGAAGUUCAAGAAGUUCAUAAUGUGCAGAACUGAAGGACCCAAAGAGGAGGCCCUCAGCCAUCAAAUCCAGACCAUUCAAAAUUAUUUGUUUAAAUCCAGCUAUUAGUCAAUUAACCAUGAAAGCUAUGUGGGCUUGUUAUAAGCUGUUUUGACUUGCAAUCUCAACAAGCAUACUUAAAAAAAAUAAAAAAAAACUUUUUAAAAGGCAAUGUUAAUUAGGACUCUGGUCUUUGAGGUGCUGAAUCUCCCAUAAUUUGACUUCCUAAUCAUUCCAUAAAAGAGGUGACGCUUACCUAAAAAUACAUUUUUUUUAUCCUGUUGUUUAGGGCUUACACAGAUUCUAAGCUUCAGGAGCCAUAGUGUAUGGCAAAUUCACCACUUGCUGAGCAGCAUACGUCUUAAGAGGUUCUAUUGAACUCCAGCUGGAUUUUCUAUGCACUGUGGAUUUUCAUUUUGCCUUUUAAUUUUUUACUUUAAUGAAUUACUUUUAACAAAAGAACAAAGUAACAACCAAGCUUUUAAAAGAAUAGAAAUGUGUGGACCUUAAGAGAGAGAAAUUAAAUUGACUUCAGGAAAACUAAUUAAAAACUUGAGAAAAUUCCAUUCAAAAUGGCUGGCCUGCAUGUUAAGGAACAUAGGAAGCUGCCUUAUACAGUUGGUCAAUCUAACUCAGUAUUGUCGACACUGGCUGGCAGCAGCUCUUUGAGAUUUCAGAGCGGGUAUUUCCCAGCCGUGCCUGCAGAUGCUGGGACUGAACCUGGUAUAAACAAAACCACUCACAGUAUCAACAAAACCACAACAUCAUCCAUUGUUGUUUAGUCAUUUAGUCGUGUCCGACUCUUCAUGACUACCCCAUGGACCAGAGCACGCCAGGCACUCCUAUCUUCCACUGCCUCCCGCAGUUUGGUCAGACUCAUGCUGGUAGCUUCGAGAACAGUGUCCAACCAUCUCAUCCUCUGUCAUCCCCUUCUCCUUGUGCCCUCCAUCUUUCCCAACAUCAGGGUCUUUUCCAGGGAGUCUUCUCAUGAGGUGGCCAAAGUAUUGGAGCCUCAUCUUAACGAUCUGUCCUUCCAGUGAGCACUCAGGGCUGAUUUCCUUAAGAAUGGAGAGGUUUGAUCUUCUUGCAGUCCAUGGACUCUCAACAGUCUCCUCCAGCACCAUAAUUCAAAAGCAUCCAUUCUUCGGCGAUCAGCCUUCUUUAUGGUCCGGCUUUCACUUCCAUACAUCACUACUGGGAAAACCAUAGCUUUUACUAUACGGACCUUCGUUGGCAAGGUGAUGUCUCUACUUUUUAAGAUGCUGUCUUUUAAUCAUCCAUUAAAAUUAAUCUAAAAACUAACAAGGCAGAAGAGAAUAAAAACAGCAGCAGUGACAUUCAGAGCAUCACCAUCACCAUCAUAAUUUAUUAUUUAUACCCCGCCCAUCUGGCUGGGCUUCCUCAGCCACUCUGCGCAGCUCCCAACAGAACACUAAAACAGAAUAAAACUUCAAACAUUAAAAACUUCCUUAAACAGGGCUGCCUUCAGAUGUCUUCUAAAAGUCAGUUGUUUAUCUCCUUGACAUCUGAAGGGAGGGCGUUCCACAGGGUGGGCGCCACUACCGAAAAGGCCCUCUGCCUAGUUCCCUGUAACCUCGCUUCCCGCAGUGAGGGAACCACCAGAAGGCCCUUGGAGCUGGACCUCAGUGUCUGGGCUGAAUGAUGAGGGUGGAGACGCUCCUUCAGGUAUACUGGGCCGAGGUCAUUUAGGGCUUUGAAGGUAAGCACUAGCACUUUGAGUUGUGCUUGGAAACGUACUGGGAGCAUCCCGAAAAGCCUCUUGUCUUUGCCAGACAGCAAGUGGCAGUGAAUCCAGCUGGAGUUCUCUCAAUCUCUCUGUUACUUUCUUGGGAGGCUUUUCCUGGAGUAUGUACGCAUUGGGUAGGAAGCACGGUAAACUUAUGAGUUGAAUUUGUGGCCUCUGGGGUGGUGGUGGAAUUGCCUCUUGAUAACCAUAUUGUUGUGGUUUGAUCAGUUCCUCAGUACUCCUGUAAAUAUUAAUACUGCGACUUCCCAGGGCAGAUCAGGUGGUAGUUUUGCCAAGAAGGAAGUAAUUUCAGCCCAAAACACAAAUUAAUCAUUUCUUACUAAAGCCACAGCUAUCCAGUAGCUGGUUUGGUGUCACCUGAAUCUGUUCCUUACAGCAAAUGUGCUUGUUAUAUCAUUGUUCAUAUACCUGGGAUGAAAGGUGAAUGACAGCAAAUGUGAAACUUUUUCCUGAACUUGGGUGUCCUCCUGUUCUUUAUUUGGAAUGAGAGUCUCUGCUCAAAGAUACAGAAAAAUCUCUGCCUCCUGCUGUUACUGUGAAGAAACCCAAAGCACGAACCUCACCGUCUAAAGUGUUUUGCUAGAUUUCACAAUCUUCCUGUUAUAGUAAAUGGAAAACGAGUAAAAGCAGGAAUCGGCACUGUAUUGUGUGACAGUCCGUAAUUAGUCAUUUUGCAUUGCAAAAAUGAUUAUUAGCACUUCAGUUCAUUAUCAAAGCAAAUUUAAUUUUUAUAUGUAGAGGGAGCUGACUGUAUUUAAAAAGGAAGUUUUGUUUGUAUAGCCUGAAAAAAUUAAUUCCUGACAAAUGUGAAGGAAAUUGAUAGAUUUUAACCAGGAAUAUAUUUGUGUAUGCCUAAUUGUCCUUUUUGAAAAUAUCUGCUCUACAUGCCAGCAUAGAUCUCUAUUACAAAUGAGUAAUUUAAAUUAUGGUGUUUGGGGUUGGGGUUUUUUUUUAAGCUACCUGAUCCCAUAUUAUAGCCCAUUAAAUUCAACAUGGUUUACAUACAUGUUUAGUAUGAAUAGGAUUGAACCCAGUGUAUUUCAAAAUGUAAGUUAAUUUAACAAAGGGAAGCAUCAAUCACUUAUAUCAAAACUGUUAUCCUGGUC